rnacentral:rRNA from 1 species
AUGACUAGGGAUAACCUUAGGAAGAGACACAUCAUCAAACCCCUUGAUUGUGUUUACUACUUGGAACAAGAGUCUUGUUCUCACCUAUUUUUUGAAUGUAUAGUUGCUAAACAUCUCUGGGCCCACAUUGAGGAAUAUUUCUCUAGUCAGAUUGGCUCAUCCUUCGAAUUUGUCGCCAGAUUCUGGAUUGCUACCAAAAAGUGCUCAGUUUUAAACACUGUUAGCUCAGCUGUCCUUUGGUGCCUCUGGAAAUAUAGAAAUGCUAUGAUUUUCAGUAACACCUCCUGGAUUUCCAUUCCGCAGGUCUUGAGGUUGAUCAGGAACAUGGUGAGGAACUGGGCGAUUCUCUCCUCCAGAUCAUACAAGGACAAGUUGAUGAGCUUCGUGGAAACCCUAACAAGAUCCCUCCAGAAACCGUUGGCGAUCACUUGUGGCUGA